CCCACUAUUUUUGUGGAACUGGGAUUGCUUGGCCUACAAUGGUACUAGGCCAUGCUGGGCUGGCAGUGCCAGUGAAGGGAGGAGGGUGGG